GAGUUUGAUCCUGGCUCAGGACGAACGCUGGCGGCGUGCCUAAUACAUGCAAGUAGAACGCUGAAGACUUUAGCUUGCUAAAGUUGGAAGAGUAGCGAACGGGUGAGUAACGCGUAGGUAACCUGCCUACUAGCGGGGGAUAACUAUUGGAAACGAUAGCUAAUACCGCAUAACAGCAUUUAGCCCAUGUUAGAUGCUUGAAAGGAGCAAUUGCUUCACUAGUAGAUGGACCUGCGUUGUAUUAGCUAGUUGGUGAGGUAACGGCUCACCAAGGCGACGAUACAUAGCCGACCUGAGAGGGUGAUCGGCCACACUGGGACUGAGACACGGCCCAGACUCCUACGGGAGGCAGCAGUAGGGAAUCUUCGGCAAUGGGGGCAACCCUGACCGAGCAACGCCGCGUGAGUGAAGAAGGUUUUCGGAUCGUAAAGCUCUGUUGUAAGAGAAGAACGUGUGUGAGAGUGGAAAGUUCACACAGUGACGGUAACUUACCAGAAAGGGACGGCUAACUACGUGCCAGCAGCCGCGGUAAUACGUAGGUCCCGAGCGUUGUCCGGAUUUAUUGGGCGUAAAGCGAGCGCAGGCGGUUUAAUAAGUCUGAAGUUAAAGGCAGUGGCUUAACCAUUGUUCGCUUUGGAAACUGUUAGACUUGAGUGCAGAAGGGGAGAGUGGAAUUCCAUGUGUAGCGGUGAAAUGCGUAGA
rnacentral:rRNA from 1 species